UUGAUCCCUGCUCAGGAUGAACGCUAGCGGCAGGCUUAACACAUGCAAGUCGAGGGGCAGCAUGUCCAGCAAUGGAUGAUGGCGACCGGCGGAAGGGUGCGUAACGCGUGAGCAACAUGCCCUAUACAGGGAGAUACACCAGGGAAACUUGGUCUAAUAUCCCAUAGCAUUCAUUGAAGGCAUCUUUAAUGAAUUAAAGCUUCGGUGGUAUAGGAUUGGCUCGCGUGACAUUAGCCAGAUGGUGAGGUAACGGCUCACCAUAGCAAUGAUGUCUAGGGGUUUUGAGAGGAAGGCCCCCCACACUGGGACUGAGACACGGCCCAGACUCCUACGGGAGGCAGCAGUGAGGAAUAUUGGACAAUGGAUGGAAAUCUGAUCCAGCCAUGCCGCGUGCAGGAAGACGGCCUUAUGGGUUGUAAACUGCUUUUAUACGGGAGCAAUAAGGGUUACGAGUAAUCCGAUGAGAGUACUGUAUGAAUAAGGAUCGGCUAACUCCGUGCCAGCAGCCGCGGUAAUACGGAGGAUCCGAGCGUUAUCCGGAAUUAUUGGGUUUAAAGGGUGCGUAGGCGGCCAUUUAAGUCAGCGGUGAAAUUUUGCAGCUUAACUGUAACAGUGCCGUUGAUACUGUUUGGCUAGGAUUUGGUUGUAGUGUGCGGAAUGUGUGGUGUAGCGGUGAAAUGCUUAGAUAUCACACAGAACACCGAUUGCGAAGGCAGCACACUAAGUCAUUAUUGACGCUGAGGCACGAAAGUGUGGGGAUCAAACAGGAUUAGAUACCCUGGUAGUCCACACUGUAAACGAUGAUAACUCGCUGUCGGCGAUACACAGUCGGUGCCAAGCGAAAGCAUUAA
rnacentral:rRNA from 1 species